rnacentral:rRNA from 1 species
UACGUAGGGUGCAAGCGUUAUCCGGAAUUAUUGGGCGUAAAGAGCUCGUAGGCGGUUUGUCGCGUCUGCUGUGAAAACUGGGGGCUCAACCCCCCGCCUGCAGUGGGUACGGGCAGACUAGAGUGCGGUAGGGGAGAUUGGAAUUCCUGGUGUAGCGGUGGAAUGCGCAGAUAUCAGGAGGAACACCGAUGGCGAAGGCAGAUCUCUGGGCCGUAACUGACGCUGAGGAGCGAAAGCAUGGGGAGCGAACAGG